UAUUAAAGGCAACGCCUGCCCAGUGAAUAAUUAAACGGCCGCGGUACCCUAACCGUGCAAAGGUAGCGUAAUCACUUGCCUAUUAAUUGUAGGCCUGUACGAAAGGCAUCAUGAGGGCCUAACUGUCUCUUUUAGUAAAUCAAUUAAACUGAUCUCCCAGUCAAAAAGCUGGGAUAGUAACAUAAGACCAGAAGACCCUGUGAAGCUUUAACUAAACUAUUAAAUCCUAUAAUAACUACUUUAGGUUGGGGCGACCUUGGAAAAAAAAAGAACUUCCAUAAUACUUUAUAUUAUUAUAUAAACCAAGACCAACAAGUCUACAACGACCCAGCAUAGCUGAUAAUUGAACCAAGUUACUCCAGGGAUAACAGCGCUAUCUUCUUCAAGAGCCCAUAUCAAAAAGAAGGUUUACGACCUCGAUGUUGGAUCAGGACACCCCAAUGGUGCAGCCGGUAUUAAAGGUUCGUUUG
rnacentral:rRNA from 1 species